GGUGUGAUUUGGGGGGUCUAUUUCUAGGGCUGAACGGCGUUUGGAAUGAGGCGGUAAUGACUGUUUCUAUCUUUUCCUCCAGGUCCUAAGACCGUGGGGUCUGAAUGUUUUGAUACACUGGGUCCAAGCCGCAGUGUAGAACCAUGGGAACUGCCUUCCAUUUGCUCACCUUUGAGUUUGUUAUUAGGCAAUAUGGCAGUGAGUGCCCUCAUGGAGACACCUGCUCGCUUCUCCAAUCUGGAAACCCGGUUGCUUUCCUCCUGGUCGCCUUCCACCCCUCAGCACAUUCCUGCUCUGUGAGAGAAUGCUGGUGGAUGAGACUGACAAUCGCACCCUCCCUCCUUUGGCAGGGGGGAAUCUUUGGUUCAUGGGGCGGGUGCAGGGAAUCUCAAGAUAACCCCUAAUGGGAUUUCCUGCAUCUGGCCUUGGUCCCUGGACAGCUCCUUUUUGAUUGGUUGUCUCACCGACACAUUGAUCUCACCCUUCGGCGGGUGAUGGAUGGUCAGGGAAAGUUUGCCUGACUCACACCAUGGACACAUGUUCCUUUGCCGUCAUUUUUCUCGUAUUAGCUGGCGCACCGACAGGCACCACAGACGACUGCUGACCGCUUGAUGGCCCUGGCACCACGCUUACCCUGUCUUUUAUUUAGAAGGUGUUCCAGCUCCGUAUCCCACAUCCCACCACCUCCCCAAAGAUCCACAUGCUCCAUGGAGAACCUGUUCUGCCUUUCAAGGGCUUGGAGCAAAAUGUUCUGCAAACUUAGAAAACUCAUGUGAAUAAAAGACACUGGAGGCUAUAAAGCAUUGGGCAUGUAAUAUAAACAGAAAAAGAUACAAAGUAGGGAUCAGACUGCAAAGGAGGUACGACAUGGGCAACGGAGAUUUGAAAAACGGCGGUAAAUAGCAGUACAGUCAGUGACUAACACCCGGGGAUCACUUCCAGGGGCCAGGAUUUAAUGACCAGCUAAUCCUGCCCAUCCCCCUCUUCCUUCAACGUUACAGCUAAUCUAACUCCUGCUUGCCCUACAUUCUCAUAUGCAGGAGUUCACAUAAACUUUUAAGUAAUGUCUAGUUCCCCGACUUGAUACUGGGUUCCCCCAGGCUGUAGCCUUUCUUGUCCAGUCCCAAGCAUCAUGGUAAUUUCUAAGGUCAAGUCAGAGCUCAGCAAGCCCCUGCCACAGUAACAAAGGAUGUACCUACUCCCUGAAGAUGAUAUCGGUUAGUGAGUAACUCACAUGAGGGACCUGAUGGGCCUGCUAAUUGCAUCAAUACCUUGCCUGGAUAAAAGUCUUUUGUAUUUACCUCUUAACUUGUUCAGCAUUAGAGGCAAGUGGGGGAUGGGCUUUGAAACAGGUUUGUUAAUUUACACUUUCCUCUCCCAUGUCCCAAAAUAGGAAAAUCUCCCCCAGGAUAAGGUCUUAUCAUGUUGCCCAAGAUUACAGGCAUGCCGCCUCUCUUAGUUAGGGCAACUAUCGAUGUGUUGAGACACUGUGGCCAAAACAACUUGGCAGGAAGCGGUUUACGUGGCUUACACUUCCACAUCACAGUUCAUUACCAAAGGAAUCAAGGACGGAACUCAAGCAGGGCGGGAGCCUGGAGGCAACCCGCACUGUGGAGGAGAACCGCUUACUGGCUUGCUCCCUAUGGAUUUCUUACAGAACCCAGGACUGCCAGGCUUACACCACCCACAAUGGGUUGGGCCCUUCCCCAUUAAAAACUAAUUAAGAAAAUGUCCUGCGGCUUGCCUACGGCCUGAUCUUAUGGAGGCAUUUUCUCAAUUGAGGAUCCUGUCCAGCAUCAUUUCCGUUGUUUGGAAUCUUCAUUGGGUCCCAGGUACUCUUUUUGACACUGAAAACUUUGGCACAGAAAAGCCAUGUACAAGUGUCAUCUCUUCCUUCUGGGCUGUUGCCAGAGGUAUGAGCUUCCUGUUCAAGUAGGUAAUUUGAUGCUUUCCCCUGCCCCCUGCUUCUGAAUCCCAUGUACCUGCCAGCCAGCAUAAGAGCCAGCCCGCUGUGGCCACAGAGAACCAUUGUUGUCCUCGGGGCUUUUAGCACAAGGUCUCUGGUAGGUGGAUUUGGGCUUGAAGCUACCCCAGAGUCUUCAUCCAGCACUGCUUGUCUGGUUUGCAUCUGGGGAGGGUCUUAGGGCGCCUGUGGAGGCCAGAAGUCAAUGUCAGCUGUUAGAUUUCUGGCCAGAGAGCUCUGAGGAUCUGCCUAGCUCUGCUUGAUUCCUUCAGGCCUUGGAUUACAGAUAUAUAGUGUAUCCAUACUCAGCAUUUUAUUCGGGUGCUGGGGAUCUGAACUCAGGUCCCUGAACUUGCAUGGCAAGCACUUUACCACUGACCCAUCUCCCAGCCUUCCAUAGUACUUCCUAUGAGGUUUCUGUACCGUUUCCAUUUUCUGGAAGGAGUUUAGAAUCUUCCCUCUGGCCUGCUUCUUCAGUCUCACCCCCUCCACACUGGCCUCUCUCUCCCUUUUAUCUUUCCCUAUCUGCUUUCUCUCCUUAGAACACUCUCUGAGUUGGGGGUUGGGUCUACCUUUCUGUCUUUUUCGAGUUUUGGUCAGAAGCCACGGUGUACGAAUGUGUGUGUGUACAUGUACCAGUGUGGGUGCACAGGCACAUUAGACCACUGAGCCAUCUUGCUAGCCCUUCACCUUAAUUUUUGGGACAGGGUGUCUCAUUGAACCUGAAACUCACUGAUUGGCUGGAUGAUGCCACCUGGCAUUGUCAUGAACAUGUCUGUGAACUCCUUAUUCUUACACUGCUCUAUUUAAUCAGUAUAAAAAUCCUUGCUAGGAUUGGGAACCCCAGUGAGUUACACGUGGCUAAGGCGUUUUUGCAUUGUCUUCUUCCCAGUGCAGAGCCACUCUCUGGAUGCUUCGCUGGGAACUAAACCUCUGUCUCCUCCUGGAUUAGCUGACACCAGCCACUACCGUCACCACUGGCUAGAAUCCUGGCGUGUCCUCAAAGCCUCUGCAGCUUGCCCUUGACACUCCUCCCCCAUGGAGUUAUAUUUCCACAAGAGGCAGCCUAGAGCGAACAUCUGGAACAUCUGGAAGGCAAAGAGUGGAAGGUUUGAGGCCCCACUCUUCUCUAAGGAGCCAUUGGAAGCUAUUGGGGGAAGAAGGGUCAUUUUCAUCAGUGGUGUGACCUCUGGCAAGUUGCCUGUGCUCCAGUAAAUAUCCACCACCCAUAGAGUCCGAUUAGUACUGCGUGCAAAGACGAGAGCAACCCUCCGGUGGCCACGCCCCUGAAGAAAAAGUGACGCUUCUUCCCGCACCAGUAUCAAGUACCUCAGUUAGGGCGGAGCCUUACGAGACCCUCUCUCGUCCUUGCCAGAAUGAAUGAAUGGCUUUCUCUUGUGCAGAUAACUGCAGCCACUGUGAGUGAAAUGGCCAUGUCAUGUCCAGAGGGUGGCGUGUUUUAGGGUGCACGCACACACACACACACACACACACACACACACACACACCGGUCCUCUUGCUCUCACAGUUUUCUUUUUCUUUUCUUUUCUCUUGCCAUCUUUUUUGAUGAUGUUCCCUGAGUCAUGUGGAGGUAAGGGGUGGGGGUUGAAAUAGAUGUUCCGUUUAUUCUCAGCACUUUGUCCAGUUAUUUGACUGCUGCCCAAUGCAAAAAGAAGUCUCUCUGACUAAGGUUGAGGGUACACUAAUCAAUUUAAACACUUAAAGGCAGUUUGACAACAUGUCAGUUUAGUAGUAGUAGGUUGCCCCCACUGGGUCCUCUAUGUCCUCCCCAGCUAUGGGCUUUUGGCCAGGUUGGCAGGGCAAGGCAUGAAUUCCUUGCUGUGGAACCGGCCUCAAAUCCAAUCAGAAAACAGUUGGUUAUCCCCAUAAGAGUCAUGCCACUACUACACUAUGGACACAUCUUCCCUGGGAGCUCAGUAUUGUAGCGUGGAGGGUCCAUGUACGGACAAGUCCAUUGAUGGCUUUUCUCCCAGCAGCCUGUGUAAUACCUUUCAGCAUGAUGACUGCUAACCAGCAGUGAAAAGUUUCUGGGUCAGUUCCUACUUGGUUUCUCUGUCCUGCAGCCAAACUGUGUUGUAUCUUCAACAAGAGGAUCUUACCAUCUAGUGACGGUAGACAACCAGAAGCAAUGUCAACAGCCUUUGAAGGCCCCUGACCAAUAUCUCAUGGGGAGGUAGCCCAUACCUGGCCCUGGCAUUUUCACUUAAUAACCUACCUCUUCUAGGAGAAGCGUUGUCCACCCAUUCAGGUAGUUCAACUCUUUUUAAAAAUUAUAUAUUUAAAUUAACUUAUAAAAUAAUGUGUUUCCAACCUGGCAGUGAUGAUGUAUGCCUUUAAUCCCAGCACUCGGGAAACAGAGGGAGGCAGAUCUCUGUGAGUUUGAGGCCAGCCUGGUCUACAAGGCUACAGAGAGAAACCCUGUCUAGGAAAAAAAAUGGGUUUCCUUAAAGCUUUUUCAUAGAUACUUAAUUUAGUCAUUUUAUCCCCAACUCCCUGCUAAUCUCUGUUUAAAGAGGUACUUGAGAUUGUGCAACAUUCAAGUUCCUUAAAACUAAUCCUUGUCCUAGUAAGACAGAGGCAGGAGCUGUAGAAAUGGCUCAGUGGUUAAGAGCACUUACUGCUCUUGCAGACAGACCUGAGUAAAGCUUCUGUUUAAAGCAGAUGUGAAUACAUCGGUCCUCAACUGGCCAAAGUAUGGAGAAUAAAGACAGUGGUGUGCUCAGCCUUAUACUGGACAUUGACAUCACAUCUCUGCCUCCCAAGGCUCAUGGAUCAUUGCAGAAGAGGAGAGCUUGAGAAAGAGUGAAAGAGCCAGAGGCGGGAGCCCUACAAAUAGUGUCCUCCAAGCACAGCAGGGCAGCAACACAGAUGACUCACAUUGAUAUGACAGCAUGCACAAGCCCCGUGCAAGUUCAGUCUUCAGUAAAUCUCAGCCUGGAGAAGGGAAACAAACACAAGGUGUCACCCUUAGCAGAGAACUACUGGCAAUUGAAAGCUGCUGGAAGUCCGGGAGUCAGUUUUCUUUAGGAAUGUAGUCCGCAUCAAGUGACCACACUGCAGUCGAUGGUCGUAUAUCCAAGAAAAUGUAGGCAGCACAAACUGAACUUGAUUGGGGGUGGGGAUAGGGAAGGGAGGGUAACUCCAGGAGAAGUUGAGGAGUAAAUAUGAUCAAAGAAUAUUAUAUAAAGUUUUCAAAGAACGAAUAAAAAUUACCUCUGUAUCUAAUUUAUUGUGUGAUCUAGCUGAAUCUGGGGUUUUAAAAGCCAUCAAAUAAAAGGAUCUGAACACUCUA